CCUGCCACAGCCAGAGCCUUUAAAAACCAGAAGAUGAAUAAGUGAAAAGGACUAAAAUAGAACUUGUCAAGCGUGUGUGUGCGCACGCAUAAGUUCACCUGAUGAUGCACUAGAUGCAGUGGUAGUGCUGUUUUCUGAGAAACAUCAGGUCUGUUAUGUUUUCUCAGACACUCAAAGUGAAAGGAAGACCGUCGACCUGUGUUGAAAAGCAAAUAUGCAGUUGACUUCAAGGUCACACUACUGAUUGUACUGAUCUGUAUUAAGUGUAAUGAACGUGUGUGUGAGCAUGUACCUAGUGCAGUGGGGCAGAGAAAGGCCCUCCGCCGUGGAGACUGCCACGGCCUCCUCUCCUCCCCUACAUCCGCCUCCACCAUGGGAGCCAACUGCUUGCUCUCUUCAUCCUGAAACUUCAUCCUGCAUCCCACAAACACACAGAACUCAGAACUUUAAAAUAUAAUUCUAUCAAGGAGCCAGAAUCUCAAGAAACUGUCAAAGUUUGGGUCAAAGUGCAUCCCCAAAAAUAAGUAUUUGACAAAAUUUGAAAAUAUUUAAUUUCAAGGCUCUUAGGCCCACAAAAACGACAUUCAUUUGAUAAAAAAAAAAAAAUACAGUAAAAACAUCAUUGUCAAAUGUUAUUUAAAAUAAGGCUUUUCUAUCAUGUUUUCAAAUGUAAUUUAUUGCUGUGAUCCUUAGCGUCACAUGAUCCUUCAGAAAUCAUUUUAAAAUGUGAUUUGCUCCUCAAGAAACAUUUAUCAAUAUUUAAAACAUGCAAAAAAAAAUGUUAUGAUGUAUAUGAUGAAAUAAAAGUACAAUUUUCCAAAAUGUAUUUGAAAUAGGAAUCAUUUGUAACAUUCUAAACGUCUAAAAAAAAUGUUUACUUUUGAUGAAUUUUAUGCUUUUUUGUUGUUUUUGCUGAAUAAAACUAUUAAUUUCUUUAAAAAAAAUCUUCUUCAAAUCAAAUGAAUUUUAUUUUGGGGACCAUUAUGACCGCUGCUUGGAAGCCACUAUUAAUACUAGGGGGUGAGGGGUCAGAUUUGUUAUCGUCUAGUAAGCUAUUUUACCAAUUUAAACUACUAUAGCUCAUGCAUUAAACUGUAUCUCACGCCGUCCUGUGGUUUAUUGUUGUAUUAACUAUUCUGGUAUGAAGGAAAACAGAAGAAUGAAGUAUUACAUGUCCAUUGAGAGCAUGGUCUGAUCUCUCUCAUCUAGUAAUGUUUCAUCGUACGUCUCAUCUGUAGAUGCUUCCUCUCGCCGGAUUAUAGGGAGACGACUGUCACUGGAAUCAGAGCUAGACAAAACAACAAAACACACAGAGAAACCUUAUGAUGUUAGAUUUAAGAGGAGAAAAAGGUUUUGUCAAGGGGCACUUCAUGAAGACCGGAGCUCCACUAAUGGAAAGCCCCUCCAGUACAGCCUGGAAAUGACCAGCAGGACGAACUUCAACACAAAUAAGUACAUGGACUAGCAGAGCAGUUCUUAUCUAGUGAGAGCGAAGUCUGUUCUGAUAGCAGGAGGAAAGUAUUGGAAAAACUAAUACAACUUACCAUUUGAACAUGUUUAGUUAUGAUCAACAGGCUACAAUUUUUAUAUUAUAAAUGAAAACUCAUUUCAUUUGUUUUUGUUGAUGUCAAAAGGCCUGCAUCCAGUCAAACUCUACAGCAGUGUUCCUUUAGUUUUACUUGUAUUCUACUACGGUGUUUAUUAAUAUUUUUAUUAGCUUUUUAUAUUGUCAUUUUACGUUAAGUAGUAAUUUUUUCAUUUUGCUGUAAAUUAAACGUACAGUAUGGGAUUUUUGGCCACCAGGGGUCACUCAAUCAAAAUAAUAACAUAAGACGUACUUUGAUGAUGUCGGGAAAGAGCGUAGGCUCAUGGGAGUUGUUGUUCAUUGGAACACGCACUCUGUUGCUCCUUAUCAUUCCUCACUCAUUCUAACUUAGUAUUUUGACAAUCACGUCUUUUCGAAUGGAGAGAUAUAUGAAUUAUGAGACCCCUAUCAAAUCAAUAUUCCAUCUAGCUAGUAGUAAUAUAUGUUAAAAAAAACACGGUCGCCUUUCGUUAAUAAUUAUAAUUACGUUUAUAAUAUGAUAUCGAACAAGAUAGUGAACUACAUUUGAAGCUACUUUAUCCAGCUAGAUAUAGAACAAAUGUAGAUUUACAUUAUACUAUACAUGAGAGCUAGUCCGUCUGCGUUUUACACAAGAUAUCAUCGUUUCACAAAGUAUACGGAUAGAUACAGUUAGCUGAAUGGAUUCAUACCUGUUUAUCAGAAUGCAAGCGAGUUCGGCAACUCCAAUAUUUACCCGAGUCUUGUUUCUUAUCUUGUCCCAAAACCUUCGCGGGUCAUUUAUUUCACCCGUACGUUUGCACUUCACAGAACGUGCAGGCAAAGCAUAAUCAUGAUCCAUAACUAAGUUAUUGAUUGAGGUAAAAAUACGAAUAUAAAGAAUAUAAAUAUAAAAUAUAAUAGUCUCGAUCAAGGCUAGUUACUACUUUUUCUUCUUCGUCUCGUCUUUGCUUCUGUUCACCUUUGUAUUUGGCGGUUCCGCAGGAAGUUAGAUAAACUAGAGGGGUCAAAGGUUAUAUGACGCCAUAGACGGGCGACAAAACGGAAAUAAAGAAACGUGCCGUGUCUUCUAAUUAAACUAUAAUUUUCUCCGGAUUUGAAAGUUCGUGGAAACUGUUGGGAUAAUGUAAGUACACAACUAAAAAAUAUAAAUAACAUAGAUAUAGUGAUUUCUGCAAUUUUUAAACCAGAAAAAUUACAUAUUGCGCCUUUAAUUCAUCAGUAUUGUUAUUUCAGUAUUAUUUAUAUAUUA